AAAAGAAACCAACAGGGAUUGCCCUAGUAACGGCGAGUGAAGCGGCAACAGCUCAAAUUUGAAAUCUGGCUACUUCGUAGUCCGAGUUGUAAUUUGUAGAGGAUGCUUUUGGUGAAGUGCUUUCUGAGUUCCCUGGAACGGGACGCCAGAGAGGGUGAGAGCCCCGUACAGUUAGCAACUGAUCCUUUGUAUAGCUCCUUCGACGAGUCGAGUAGUUUGGGAAUGCUGCUCUAAAUGGGAGGUAUAUCUCUUCUAAAGCUAAAUAUAGGCUAGAGACCGAUAGCGCACAAGUAGAGUGAUCGAAAGAUGAAAAGCACUUUGAAAAGAGAGUUAAACAGCACGUGAAAUUGUUGAAAGGGAAGCGCCUAUGACCAGACUUGUCUCUAUCAGUUUUGGUAGUUUUCGGACUGCUUUACUCUGUUAGUACAGGCCAACAUCAGUUUGUUGUCGGGGAGAAAGGCUUAGGGAAUGUGGCUCCUUCGGGAGUGUUAUAGCCCUUUGCAUAAUACCCUUCGGCAGACUGAGGA
rnacentral:rRNA from 1 species